rnacentral:misc_RNA from 1 species
GAUGAAGAACGUAGCGAAAUGCGAAAAGUAAUGUGAAUUGCUGAAUUCAGUGAAUCAUCGAAUCUUUGAACGCACAUUGCGCCCGCUGGUACUCCGGCGGGCACGCCUGUCCGAGCGUCAUUUCAACCCUCAAGCCCUCCUUCGGGAUGGGCCUGGUGUUGGGGCUCGGCCGCCAUCUCCGGCGGCCGUCCCCUAAAUACAGUGGCGGUCACGUCGCGACUCCUUUGCGUAGUAGAAACACCUCGCUCCGGAUAGCAACGCGGUCCACGCCGUAAAACCCCCAAUUUUCAAUGGUUGACCUCGGAUCAGGUGGGAAUACCCGCUGAACUUAAGCAUAUCAAUAAGCGGAGGA